GUUUAAAGGAAGAAAUGAGCAAAGGAUCCACCAUGGAUCGGCAUGAAUGGAUGUUCCCUUUCUCAGUGGUCUAAGGAAACAAGACUGAAAGCAGGCUUGCAGAAAUAACAGCAGAUCAAAAUCUGGUGUGGCAGGAUGACAAGUAAAGGUAAAAGCAAAGAAGUCAAGCACCGUCAGAAUCCGUCAAGUGCAGCACAACAAUGAAAAAUUGCAGACUGUGUUCUUUAAAGCAAAACACUGAUUUAUUUCUCGUCCAAUCUUCAGCGAAUUUGGUAUAGAUAUGUGUUCAACAAACCCUGUUGGCUUAAUAAGUGAAGAAGUUAUGUGUUUUAUGACAAUAAUAGUUUAGUCAAUAAGCGAAGCGAACAUUUGCAGCGCUGUUCUACAACAGUACAAAAAGACCAUGUCAGGACGUGUUACUGCCUGUAUCAGCACAAGAAGUGGCAUAAACAUUAUUGCUUCACUAUUAAUUUUGUUAAGUUUAUAACACACCUGAGCACAAAGUGCUCCGUGAAGGCUAUUGUGGUUUCGCUGUGUCCGUCAGCAAACAAUUGAAACGUUAAUACUAUAGUAAUCACAAUGUUAAUUUAAUUGUUCAUUAUGUUACCCUUAAGGUAGUUCUGCACAGUUGAAAAAAACGGAAGUGGUGAUGUAAUGUCAUUUAUCCGGAAAACGUAGAAUAAAGCCUUGAUUCGGUGUACGGAAACGAAAAUCAUUUCAUAAACCAAUAGCAACCCGUGAGUAAAUUUAUUACAAUGGCACUGUCAAUUUCUUUC
rnacentral:lncRNA from 1 species